rnacentral:lncRNA from 1 species
UUCCCUACCAUCAAAAGGCUCGUUCUUUGUUAUCGCAGGCACUUUGAUUUUGUCUUACCACUUUUCAAGCUGAGUGUAUGAUGAUUUUAUUGGUGUGCCGUGUUAUUUCUGCCUGCCUUCGGGAGGCAGAGGUUUAGAUGACGGCACUGGUGAGGCAGGUGCGGGCUGGAUCCUUGACACUCUAAUUCUGAAAUCAAUGGAGCUGGGACGAUUCACUCCGCCUGAGCGCCGGGGAAAUCAGUGGCUUCCACAUCAGCUCAGCUCCAUUUGGACAGGAAAAGAAGGGGUUGCUCUUCCCUUACUCUCGGUACCAGGAAGGGCACCCGGCAUGCAAGAAAUCCAUCUGUCCAUCACACAACAUCCCCUAAGGGGAGAAAUCCUGCAUCAGGGACCUCAGCAGCAGUUUGGAGGGUGGUAUAUAGGGGGUGUCAUGGACUGUAGUUCUCUCCUUCCUUCCCAUCUGUACAGAACAGUUGGGAAUGGAAGCGGAGGAGAGGGCUGGAAGGGUGAAGAAGGAAUACAGUCCUGAGUGCUCCUAGAUCACUGGAUCAACUUUCCCCUGAGUGUGCACUGCAGAAAUGAUUUCUGAGCUUUCUGCCUGUGACCUACAGCUGGGCAUCAGCAUACCACUGCAACCUCCCUCUCUCAAUGAUUGGAUGUGGCUCCUUUAUAAACUACCACUUUGUUUCUCUGGGUCUCUGAUUGCUCCAAUAAAUGCUCUCCUUCACAGGGGAGCCUAAAACA